UACGACUACAUAUCAGGCAUAUCAAUAAGCGGAGGAAAAGAAACUAACUAGGAUUCCCUCAGUAACGGCGAGUGAAGCGGGAAGAGCUCAAAUUUGAAAUCUUCAAGGUUCUACCUUGACGAAUCGUAGUUUAAAGAAGUGUUUUCUGUUGGAAGUUUUGGUAAAAGUUCUUUGGAAUAGGACAUCAUAGAGGGUGAGAAUCCCGUAUUUGACCAUUAUUUCCAGCUUUGUGAUACACUUUCAAAGAGUCGGAUUGUUUGGGAAUGUAGUCCAAAAUGGGUGGUAAAUUUCAUCUAAAGCUAAAUAUUGGCGAGAGACCGAUAGCGAACAAGUACCGUGAGGGAAAGAUGAAAAGAGCUUUGAAAAGAGAGUUAAACAGUACGUGAAAUUGUCAAAAGGGAAGCGUUUGACACCAGUGUUGUUUUCUCGAAAAUCAAUUAAAAAAAGUUGGAUUUUGUGUUGUAUUGACCUUAACAGCUUGCUUCACUCUUUUCCAGCUUUUUUUAAUGCACUUUUCGUUUAACAAGUCAACAUCAGUUUCUUUUGUUGUAAAAGGGUCAUUGGAAGGUGGCUUUCUCUUCGGAGAAAGUGUUUAUAGCCUUUGAUCUCUGCAAUCGGAGAGACUGAGGUCUGCAGCGUAGAUCCUUCGGGGUUAGAUACAUUUGUGCUAAGCUACAGCUUUUCAUAGACAACUUGUUGACUAUGUUUAGUCUUGUGACUUACCCGCUUAUGCUAUUUUACCUACGCUUAGGAUGUUGAGCGCAUGUCUCUCUCU
rnacentral:rRNA from 1 species